CCAACGACAUUGGGGUGCGCGCCGCCGGCGCGCUGAGAUCAGACCCACUGAACCUGCUCUAGCUCGUACUAGCGAAGGGAUUGUCUUGGCUUCCUCA
rnacentral:ncRNA from 2 species